UCAAACGGAUCCAGACAUAGGCAACAGCCCGUAGUCGCAGUCGUGUUCCAGUUGAAGAUUCUAUCACCCGUGGGGAGUUUGUUCUGAACUGCAAUCCAAGCAAUAAAGGAGAAUCGAGGUGUAUUGAACGGGAACCAAAUACCUUUGCACCAGUCAACCUUUGCUUGCUCAACACGGAUGAGCUUCCAUGUUUCCUUUGAGCUGAAGUAUGUUUUGUAGUUGUUUUCCCCUGUUUUCCACAAGCGCAAGUC
rnacentral:lncRNA from 1 species